rnacentral:tRNA from 1 species
GGGCCCUAGAAAGCCUCGUAAGCA